UACAUUCGGUUAAGCUUACAAACGUCACUCGAUGCUUUAGCAAGUGCGUUUAGUCGACUGACGUUGAGAAUUUAUAACGAUAAUUGAACCGAUUUGUUUCAAUCGCGAUUACAUGUGCGAGCCAUUCUUCUUACAAACCACGGCUACUUCUAGCGAUCUAGUGAUGAUUGAUUAGAUUGAAAGAGCACA